AGUAACAACCGAAAACUCCUUUUUCUCUCUCCCCACCCAUAUUUUUGAAGCCACGGAAGAAGUCCCCCGUAGGAUCCAGCUGCUGGCUGUCUUUGGGCAUUUUGUCUGCAGACCAGGGCUGGCUGAUUGCAGGACCUGAUGGCAUUGCCUUCACACCAGACAUGAGUGGUAACCUUCCCCCGUGGACACUCCUGACACACCCUGUCGCACCUGAAGGGCAUCUUUAUCAUAAAUACUUCAUCUCCUACGCUGAGCAGCUUCUCUCUUUACUUUCUGAAGCUAUUCCAGCUUUCCAUGUGGACAGUCACAGCUGAGGAAGGGUUGGUUAUCUCUGAUGGAGACAGCAGGUGAAGGAGGUGUCUGCAGCCCAGGAUAACUGCAAGUAGAAGGGAAGCAACAUGCACAAGGAAUCACCAGUGGGAAAAGAUGGGCACUACUCCUCAUCUGCAACUUGCAAAUAAUUUCACGCGAAAUGAGGUGAGAACCUUCAUGGGCCAGGACAAAAGUUGCAUCAAAGGGAAGUCUGAUUGGGUAUUAAGAAAAAAACUCAAACAACAUCAGAAGAGUGUCCCCAGAAGGACUGUGGAUUUUUUGUCCUUGGAGGUUUCCAAAACUCAGGUGGACACAGGCUUGAGUGAUCUGGCCUCAUGCUGAAAUUAGCCCUGCUUUGAGUGAGAAGUUGGAGCACAUGAUCUUCCCAGGUCCCUUAAAGGUUCAGUUAUCCUACAUCUAUGCGACUAUGUCCCUGCAAUCAUGUGAUGAAUCCCAUGCCAGGAGACAACACGUCUCAGCUUUGCCCAGGCAUGGUCUUGUAUCCUUACCCACAGCAGCAAUGGCAUUUGCUGUGCUGAUGGUGCAGGUCAUCAUCUCCCACUCCAAGCAUGUGCCAUCAGAGGCACAGCACCCAACCCUUCUAGAAGUCCUUGGCUUCCCAGAUAACUGCAUUUCAAGCAUGCAUUUGAACCAGUCUGUAGUUGAAGGACUCGUAUCACACCACCCAAGGUUAGGCGGAGACCCAAGGCAGCCCCAGUCUGGGGGCAUUUUGGCACAGCGAAUUAUUUGUCCAACACAACCACAUCUGUGUGGCAUCAGCACACAGAGCAUGUCUGAGCACAGCACAGGCCGCUGCACACCGGGGCUGUGUGUCAGUAUGUGCAGCACAAACAGGCACCAAGCACAGGUCACUCAUGUCUGGGUCUGCUUCCAUCCCCUGAUGCCUCGGGUCAGCAGGUGUCACAGCCUGGAAAAUGACUUUCCAGCACCAGUGGAGCAAAGGUUGCUCAAGGAACAAUUAAGCCUUAGAUCAGCCUCUUAUCUUUUAAAAGCAAGUUUUUUAAAACCAAAAGCCAUAGGAUUGUGUACAUUUGUCAUUUCAACCCAUCAGUAAGUAUUUGCAUGUGCAGUAAAUCAUUAUUCACAGAAUCACAAAAUGCACUGAGUUGGAAGGGAUGCCCAAGGAUCAUUGAGUCCAAUCCCUGGCCCUGGACAGCACCAUCCCCAAGUGUCAUACCCUGUGCCUGAGAGCAUUGUCCAAAAACUUCUUGAGCUCUAUCAGGCUUGGUGCUGUGACCACUUCCCUGGGGAGCCUGUUCCAGCGCCCAACCACCCUCUGGGUGAAGAACCUUUUCCUGAUAUCCAACCUGAACCUCCCCUGAGACAGCUUCAGGCCGUUCCCUGGUGUGCUGUCACUGUCACCACAGAGACGAGAUCAGUGCCUGCCUCUCCUCUUCCCCUCCUGAGGAACUUGGAGAGUGUAAGAUCUCCCCUCAGUCUUCUCCAGGCAGAACAGACCAAGUGACCUCAGUUGCUCCUCACAGGGCUUCAUCUCCAGGCCCUUAAAUCCAGAGCCUGGGACGCUAGAAGUUUGGCUUGGGCAUCGCAAACCAACCAGAAGCAAUGCUAUUAUUCUGUGAUUCCAGUUUUUCAAACAACUCUCCUGUCCUUUGCUAUGCCCCAGGUGAAGCUGUGAAAGGAUGACGUGUAGUAGACUGGAGAUGGGACCAUUACUGCUGCUGGUUAUUUUUGCUGGAAAUGCCUGGUGCUAUUUUUCAGUCUCGUUGACUUAGCCAGCAGUUUCUGGAACAAACAGAAAAGUCCGUGCUUUCUCUUGACCCUUCAAAACACAACCUAAGCUUUAGGAAACCUGUUUUUGGAGAGUUCUGGAUCCGCAGACCUGCCCCUACUGUCGGGGCCGCUGAGAAAGCACCGCUGGCUGUAGGGUGGCCGUGCCCCUGGGCACUGAAGGGCGCUAGCCCUGGGGCCUGGGCACAAUCUGCAAGAGCUCCAGGGAAGCAAUCUUCUCAAAGCAUGUGGUGCCAAACACUGCCCAGGUUGUAGAGCUAUAAUAAAAGCCCUCCGGAUUCUUUUGGGGUGAGUGAAUGAACAGCGCUGCCUCUGAACUAAAUGCUACUUUGAAAAGGCUCAGUAGAGCUGUAGCAUUCUGUAACCCCAAUCUGAAGGCUGUUUCUCCUCACCCAUCUGCACGGCUGAAAGGGAGUGGCCCCUUGCCUUCCCCGUUUUUGUAAACAAGGCUGCAACCUUUAUUCCUGCCUUGAGGAACAGAUUGAAUUGCUUUUGAUGAUCCAGAACAAUGUCAUCCUUUAUUCCCUCUUCAUAAGCAAUUAGUAUUUCAGCUUGAUUAUUUGCAGAUAAUAUGAGUCACCAGAUAAAACACACUGAAUACAAAAUGCUCCUUGGGAGGGAAAGAGAUAAACGGUAUUUAAGGUUAAAAAUCCAGCAUAUGCUUAAAUAUCACAAAACUGUCGCACAUCAAGGAAAAAAUAAAUCAAUCCCACUUUGUGAAAGAUUGAUCCUGUGUUUGUUUAUAACCCCAAACCCUUAAUUAAUUUGCUGCAGGAUCGCGGCACCAUGACACCCAAAGGCAGAUUGUGUCACUGUCACAGCACAAGAACAAGUUUGGUCCAACACGAUUUCGGAGUUGUCAAACCAUCCAAAAUUUCAGGCCAAAAAAGUCAUUUAAUCUUAAAAAACAAUUUUGGAUUUUUUUUCCUCUUAUUUCUUUUCUGAUUUCUAGCUUGGUGUAUUGCAGCUCCUUGAUAUUUUCAGCUCUUUUACCCAGAAACCCAAGGCUAGAAGCUGACUCAUUCUUAAUAGAAGGUACAAGUCCCACAGGAGCAGCAUUAUUUCAGGAACUCAUAUUUUAAUGGGAACAUCAAAUCUAUCUGGCAUUAUGAUAAGGUCAUUAAAAAUUAGCAAUACUGAAGGUUUAUCCUGGGUUUGCUUCUAACAUAGAUGAUAGGUGAUAUAUCCUUUCUCUGU